UUAAGCGACUAAGCGUACACGGUGGAUGCCCUGGCAGUCAGAGGCGAUGAAGGACGUGCUAAUCUGCGAUAAGCGUCGGUAAGGUGAUAUGAACCGUUAUAACCGGCGAUUUCCGAAUGGGGAAACCCAGUGUGUUUCGACACACUAUCAUUAACUGAAUCCAUAGGUUAAUGAGGCGAACCGGGGGAACUGAAACAUCUAAGUACCCCGAGGAAAAGAAAUCAACCGAGAUUCCCCCAGUAGCGGCGAGCGAACGGGGAGCAGCCCAGAGCCUGAAUCAGUGUGUGUGUUAGUGGAAGCGUCUGGAAAGGCGCGCGAUACAGGGUGACAGCCCCGUACACAAAAAUGCACAUGCUGUGAGCUCGAUGAGUAGGGCGGGACACGUGGUAUCCUGUCUGAAUAUGGGGGGACCAUCCUCCAAGGCUAAAUACUCCUGACUGACCGAUAGUGAACCAGUACCGUGAGGGAAAGGCGAAAAGAACCCCGGCGAGGGGAGUGAAAAAGAACCUGAAACCGUGUACGUACAAGCAGUGGGAGCACGCUUAGGCGUGUGACUGCGUACCUUUUGUAUAAUGGGUCAGCGACUUAUAUUCUGUAGCAAGGUUAACCGAAUAGGGGAGCCGAAGGGAAACCGAGUCUUAACUGGGCGUUAAGUUGCAGGGUAUAGACCCGAAACCCGGUGAUCUAGCCAUGGGCAGGUUGAAGGUUGGGUAACACUAACUGGAGGACCGAACCGACUAAUGUUGAAAAAUUAGCGGAUGACUUGUGGCUGGGGGUGAAAGGCCAAUCAAACCGGGAGAUAGCUGGUUCUCCCCGAAAGCUAUUUAGGUAGCGCCUCGUGAAUUCAUCUCCGGGGGUAGAGCACUGUUUCGGCAAGGGGGUCAUCCCGACUUACCAACCCGAUGCAAACUGCGAAUACCGGAGAAUGUUAUCACGGGAGACACACGGCGGGUGCUAACGUCCGUCGUGAAGAGGGAAACAACCCAGACCGCCAGCUAAGGUCCCAAAGUCAUGGUUAAGUGGGAAACGAUGUGGGAAGGCCCAGACAGCCAGGAUGUUGGCUUAGAAGCAGCCAUCAUUUAAAGAAAGCGUAAUAGCUCACUGGUCGAGUCGGCCUGCGCGGAAGAUGUAACGGGGCUAAACCAUGCACCGAAGCUGCGGCAGCGACGCUUAUGCGUUGUUGGGUAGGGGAGCGUUCUGUAAGCCUGCGAAGGUGUGCUGUGAGGCAUGCUGGAGGUAUCAGAAGUGCGAAUGCUGACAUAAGUAACGAUAAAGCGGGUGAAAAGCCCGCUCGCCGGAAGACCAAGGGUUCCUGUCCAACGUUAAUCGGGGCAGGGUGAGUCGACCCCUAAGGCGAGGCCGAAAGGCGUAGUCGAUGGGAAACAGGUUAAUAUUCCUGUACUUGGUGUUACUGCGAAGGGGGGACGGAGAAGGCUAUGUUGGCCGGGCGACGGUUGUCCCGGUUUAAGCGUGUAGGCUGGUUUUCCAGGCAAAUCCGGAAAAUCAAGGCUGAGGCGUGAUGACGAGGCACUACGGUGCUGAAGCAACAAAUGCCCUGCUUCCAGGAAAAGCCUCUAAGCAUCAGGUAACAUCAAAUCGUACCCCAAACCGACACAGGUGGUCAGGUAGAGAAUACCAAGGCGCUUGAGAGAACUCGGGUGAAGGAACUAGGCAAAAUGGUGCCGUAACUUCGGGAGAAGGCACGCUGAUAUGUAGGUGAAGUCCCUCGCGGAUGGAGCUGAAAUCAGUCGAAGAUACCAGCUGGCUGCAACUGUUUAUUAAAAACACAGCACUGUGCAAACACGAAAGUGGACGUAUACGGUGUGACGCCUGCCCGGUGCCGGAAGGUUAAUUGAUGGGGUUAGCCGCAAGGCGAAGCUCUUGAUCGAAGCCCCGGUAAACGGCGGCCGUAACUAUAACGGUCCUAAGGUAGCGAAAUUCCUUGUCGGGUAAGUUCCGACCUGCACGAAUGGCGUAAUGAUGGCCAGGCUGUCUCCACCCGAGACUCAGUGAAAUUGAACUCGCUGUGAAGAUGCAGUGUACCCGCGGCAAGACGGAAAGACCCCGUGAACCUUUACUAUAGCUUGACACUGAACAUUGAGCCUUGAUGUGUAGGAUAGGUGGGAGGCUUUGAAGUGUGGACGCCAGUCUGCAUGGAGCCGACCUUGAAAUACCACCCUUUAAUGUUUGAUGUUCUAACGUUGACCCGUAAUCCGGGUUGCGGACAGUGUCUGGUGGGUAGUUUGACUGGGGCGGUCUCCUCCUAAAGAGUAACGGAGGAGCACGAAGGUUGGCUAAUCCUGGUCGGACAUCAGGAGGUUAGUGCAAUGGCAUAAGCCAGCUUGACUGCGAGCGUGACGGCGCGAGCAGGUGCGAAAGCAGGUCAUAGUGAUCCGGUGGUUCUGAAUGGAAGGGCCAUCGCUCAACGGAUAAAAGGUACUCCGGGGAUAACAGGCUGAUACCGCCCAAGAGUUCAUAUCGACGGCGGUGUUUGGCACCUCGAUGUCGGCUCAUCACAUCCUGGGGCUGAAGUAGGUCCCAAGGGUAUGGCUGUUCGCCAUUUAAAGUGGUACGCGAGCUGGGUUUAGAACGUCGUGAGACAGUUCGGUCCCUAUCUGCCGUGGGCGCUGGAGAACUGAGGGGGGCUGCUCCUAGUACGAGAGGACCGGAGUGGACGCAUCACUGGUGUUCGGGUUGUCAUGCCAAUGGCACUGCCCGGUAGCUAAAUGCGGAAGAGAUAAGUGCUGAAAGCAUCUAAGCACGAAACUUGCCCCGAGAUGAGUUCUCCCUGACNUG
rnacentral:rRNA from 1 species